GUACAGCUUAAAUAACACCAAAGAGCUACUUUGUUAUUUACAAAUCUUCAACUCCAUUGAAAUAGUUCUUUUCUGUAGCUGUAUGACUAUGACUCUUAAUGCUUAAUAUUUGUACUCUCAUAAAUUUCAGGUGUAAUGAGCUCAAGAAAACCAUUGCUGCUGGUGUUGUGAGCAUCUCUCUAUCUGUUCUAUUGGGUUCUACUGUGUUUGGUUUCUUGAGUGAAACAUUAUGGUAACGCCCUUAUGUCCUUACUAUAAUUUAAAUUUCAGCCUAUAUAUAUGUUCACUAAACGAUGCAUAAGGGAGUGAUCUGUAACCACAAUAUGUCUCACGUUUAGAUUUCUUAGAGCUGAGACCACUUUUAAGUUUUAAGCAUCACAAGUAAAUAACUCUUUAACAUUGUCUUAAAUUUCCUAAGCGGUUUGCUUGAAUCUUGCAAAUACCAGCUGAUAAUCCUAAAACUUUUUCUUUUUAGCCAUUGACAUUGUCAUUUCUUACAAAACACGAAUAUGUUUACACAGGGUGUUACAAUACGAAGAAGCCAAUGGUAGCGGAAUAUAGAAAUAUUGUAGGAUACAAGAGACAUAGAACACACAUGGGAUGAUGAUCAUCUCAGUGGAACUUGAGGCUGGUCAAGACGUUGUUGUUGACGGGAUCCGCCAAGUGAUCAAGCAGGUUCUGGUAAGGCCCGACUCCGGUCACUAGUCCCUGGAUGAAGUAACCGAGGAUGGCGAGCAUAGCCAGUCUACCGUUCUUGACCUCCUUGAGUUUCAACUCUUUCAUUGACUUCUCAUCUUUCCCAAACCCAAGAGGGUUGAAGAAAGGUCCACCGGGGUAUGAUGGGUCACCUGAACCGGCCAAACCCUUCUCUAACCCCAAGAAGUACUGUUUCCCCAUAGAUCCUGGGUUGUACCAGUCCUGUAACCUCCUGUGCUCAGCAAAUCCCAUCAGAGCCAUCUCAAGAACAAAGAGUGUGUAAUUGUCUGCCCAGUAGCUGUAUGUCCCUGCAGGUGGAAUCACACCGGUUUGGAACCAGGGAAGAGCUGUCUCUGCGGGAAUCAGACCAGCCUUUCCUAGAAUCUCAGGAGCAAUAGCUCCAGCUGCACCCAACAUGGCGAACCGUCCGUUGAUGAUCUCUCCGUAUGCUAGCCAUCUCGGCUCAAUGAAUCCUCCGGUUCCCUCUGGGUCUGAGAGACCAAGUGGGUCGAAUCCAUAGUCACCAGGUAAGCUGUAAGAAUCACAACAUUUCCAAAUCUUUUGAACAUCAUGUAAGUUCUCAAAGCAAUCAAAUCCAACAGUGUAUUUAAGAAUUACCUGCCAUCCAAGUAAGUGAGACUCUGCGAUGAUGCAAACCACAAUGGUCUGUUUGCUCCUUGCUGAGAUACCAAAACACACAAAAAUCAAGAUCAGGUUAUGUAAUGCAUAUAGAGAGACAGAGAAAGAGAUAGAUCUGUGUGAAAGAUACCUUGACAGGUGGAGUUGAAGCAGCCUUAACAACAAAGGAGCUCUUCUUCUGUGAGGCAGACACAGCUGGUUUUGAGCCAAAAAUCUGUCUAGCUGUCUGAACAGAGGAG
rnacentral:lncRNA from 1 species